UCUCCUUUCACGUCUCUCUCUCUCCCUCACAUCUCUCCGCGCCACCGCCGACGUGAGGAGCGCCAUCUCCAUCCCGCCUUUUUCCUCCUUCGUCCUCCCUUUCUGCAGCGCAAGCCACGACCUCUCCUGUGCGCCUCUGUUUUCCUCCCCGUCGGGACCAGGCAGAGGAGGAGCAGUGCGAGCCACGGAGAUGACGAGGUGGUCGAGUUGCCUGUGGCGCCAUCGCCGUACCUCACGGCCCAGCUGGAGGUGUGUCGGCCGCAGAGACAACAGAGGUCUCAUUCGCUCGCUCUCUCACCGCCAUAGGAGGAGUGUGCGCAGGGGGAGUGGCGGGUCAAGAUCCGAAGACGGCGGGGCGGCGACCAGUCCCGUGAGGCCCGGCGGCGAGCAGAGCUCCUUUUGCUGAGCGCCGAGGGGUCGAAGGGUGCUCCGGAUCCGGAUCCGGGCGAGGUGGCGGCCAUGGACGAGCUCGAGCCCGGGCGUGUGCCUCCUGCUCCCCAUGGUCUCGCUACCGCUCCUCCCCCUUGGGCUCUGUUCGUGGAGAGCAGCGGCCGAUGUGGACAAGGAGGUACACAGCGAGCCGCCGAUGAUGGGCACGCCGGGAUGAGCUCUCUGGCAGAAACACGCACCACACCCGUCCACCUCUCCACCACCAUGCGCCAGAGGGAGAGGGAGAGCCUAGGCCCCGAGCGUGGGUUCUGAUUUUGGGUCAAGUUUGCUUGAAGGUUAGUGCGACAAGCACGUAUCCAGAAGUUUCUCUGCAGAUAAGACGCUUAGCAAUGGCUGUGGGAAUAGCUCAAUUGGCUAAUCCAUGUAUACUCUUUGUUUAUCAUCAAGUUUAGUACUUCUAUGGAGUCGAACGUUCUCUGUGAUUUGAAAGAAAUUGAUGUCUCAAGAUCAAUUAGCAUGGCCUUGGAGUAAAUCGGCUGGUAUGCAAGUAUGACAAGUGGAUGACACUUUCAACAUUUUCUUCUCCCGUCCACAUGUGCUUGUUGGUCCAGUUCUAAAAAUUUGCUGCAAGGUUUCUAUAAUACAGAUUAAAGAAGAAUCAGAUACUGGAACUUCUGAGAACCCCUUUCCAACCCAUGUUUGCAAAUAAAAAGCUUGCGGCUUGGGAGCAUCUCAGAAUUUUUAUCUCGACCUUGCAGUAACUGAGUCUCUAUCGGCACAAAAUGCAAUUGAAUAUCUCAAAGUAAUGGAGCAUUUGAUCAGAGAGCCUGCUGUUUACUGGGAGUUGGUAAACUAUAUUACUAAUCUCAGACACUGAUUAAUUAACUAUAUUACUAAUCAAAGAGCCUGCUGUUUACUGGGAGCUGGUAAUACUACUGGCUUACUCUUUGGAACCUUCGGUUGAUCUAUACAUGUGUAGCUAGCUGCUUUUCUCCAUGGCGCAUUUCGUGUAGAUACGUAGAGAUGUUGAUUAGUAAAUGCAUGCAAACUGAAUUCUGUAUUAGUUUCCCAGCCAGUAGCAUCAUUGAAACGGCGGUUCUUCUCCAUGCGAGUUAAACGGAUUGCUUGGGUGAGAUUUUGUUAGGAUAAUCUCAGAGGUUGCGAGCAAUCAGUAGAGUUACUCAUAGUACUAAUACAUGUGCAAGUUUUCUUUAAUUAAUUUUGGUGCUUCUCCUGAUUGAAGAUGGUCGUGACCAAUUUUAGAACUUUAAAACCCCAUUAAACAUUGUUGGUAUGAAUUGGGCUUGGAAAAUACUCGAUCGAGCAGCUCCUUUGUUCUACAUUUUGGUUCAGCCUAAAUACUCGAUCGAGCAGCUCCUUUGUUCUACAUUUUGGUUCAGCCUAAAUACUCGAUCGAGCAGCUCCUUUGUUCUACAUUUUGGUUCAGCCUUACACACUUCACCGGGUAUAUGAAUUUAUUUAGAUGUAUGUAGAUACUUAGGCGUACAUGGAUCUACAUAGGCACACACGAGGUAACACGCGGAUCUGCUUUGCUUCACAUGUUAUCGUCCCCGUGCCUAGGGUUUCCGAUUGAUGUGCUAUUACCGCACGUGUGACGAUGGUCGUUUGUGGUGAGGCAGGAGGGCAACAGCGUCGACAUGGCAAUCGAGUCACUCCUGAAUGCGGAGAAGCAGUGUUGCCUGGCUGGCGAUGUGGCCAGCACUAGGAAGGACAUCGUCGAGCUCUCCUUCAAGGAUGGCGCCUGGAAGACGCUUAACUGCCAGAUCGUUGUCCUCUCUAAGAGGAGGAGGGCCAGCUCAAGUAGAGAAUGGCGUCACCGGGGAGGACGGCAGCGGCGUGCCCGUGUUCGCGGAGUACAACCUCGACGAGCUCCGCGCCUCCACCGACGGCUUCGCAACGGACCACAUCGUCUUCGAGCACUGCGAGAAGGAGCCUAACACCAUCUACCACGGGCCCUCUUCAGCUCUGGCACCACCGUCGCCAUCAAGCUCUUCUACCGCUCCGCCUGGCCUGACACACGCCAAUUCAUGGAGGAGGCUAGGGCAGUUGGGCUGCUGCAGAGCGUUCGCUUGUCCAACCUCAUCGGAUGAUGCUACAAGGGUGGCGAGCGGCUGCUCGUUGCUGAGUUCAUGACGCAUGAUACCUUGGCAGCUGUGAUUCAUAGUGUGGUUAGGGUUUGUUAAGUUUACUAGCUCCUUCAUUGAUGAUGGGUCGCUGGUGGUGCUUUUCUGCCGAGAAUUAAAAAAAAAACUUAUUCCAUGUUUCAUGCGGUUUAUGCAUCUCUUUCCUAUUUCUUUGUUUCAGAUAAUGGUCAUGUUUACACUCGAGUGUGUGAUUUGUGGACGGCGGGUGCAGUCUAUCUGAAUAUGCAAUUCAUGCUUUGAUCAUGAGUAUAGUACAUUCAAAAUUAACAAAAGCAAUAAUGCAUAGCAGCAGUGUCAAUCUUGUAGGCUAUGAAACUGCAUGUUUGUUGUUGCGGUAUGGAAAUUUACCAUGCUGCGGCAAUGGGGGUAAACUCUUACGGUGAGGUUUUUUUGUGUACCUAAAGUCCCGAGAGAAAGGUAGGGUACCUGAGGUGAGUCUUAUGCCCUUCCAUGUUUUCAUUUUUUGUGCGUCUUGAAUUUUGUAUUUAAUCAAUGUGAAUUGUUCCAUAGCAAUUGCCCUGUUUUGAUUACUGUGAUCGUUAUUUACUGCUUUUGAUGGUCACUACAAAUCUCGCCCUAUUUAGGCAGGUGCAUCACUUGGUUUGAUACAUUUUACAUCGAGGCUAUGCUGCAUAUGCACUUUUGCUCUAAAUCGACUUGGUUUAGUCGAUGACUUGAUGUAUCAACAGAUGUGUUGGGCUCUUUGUUAGCCAUGUUUUGCUCAACUUUUUUGAAGGAAAUUGCCGCAUCGAAACCAAAAUUUCCUUUUGUUGAAGGCACCGUAAGGUUGUAUUACUUUGAUCACAUUUAGUUUGUACAAAGCUUUUCUUUUGAUGGCUUGAAACAUGUCACUAAAGGCAGUUGAAUGAAGACACUUAUUAGUAUGCUUAGUAGCUAUGACUCGGUAGUUGUCUCUCCUAUCCGGCGCUUAUUACCCCCUCUCCUAUUAUAGCGUUUUUGGUACCGAAGUUCAUGCCGAGUGGCUGUGCUUUUGGUUUCAAACUUCCUGUCGAGUGGCUAUGUUUUGUGAUCUUAUGAACACACUAAAAUUGAUCAUGCCUUAUAGUGUGACGCCGAUAAUGAGUAUCACUAUGUAUCGCUUCCAUCACAAUUGAAUGUUUCUUCUUCAUUGUAUUGUUAUCAUGUAUGAAUGUAUAUGCUAUACCUGGAUUACUACUGACUUCACAUUAUCCGCUUAAUCAAAACGUUGUGACCGGCACCCUCGCGCCAAGGCGCGAUCCCAAUCCAGUUCAUAACACCGGCGGCC